rnacentral:rRNA from 1 species
UUAGAAGCAGCCAUCAUUUAAAGAAAGCGUAAUAGCUCACUGGUCGAGUCGGCCUGCGCGGAAGAUGUAACGGGGCUAAACCAUGCACCGAAGCUGCGGCAGCGACACUGUGCCGAAAGGCGUAGUCGAUGGGAAACAGGUUAAUUUUUUUUUUACUGUGAGGUAUGCUGGAGGUAUCAGAAGUGCGAAUGCUGACAUAAGUAACGAUAAAGCGGGUGAAAAGCCCGCUCGCCGGAAGACCAAGGGUUCCUGUCCAACGUUAAUCGGGGCAGGGUGA